UGGGGAAUAUUGCACAAUGGGCGCAAGCCUGAUGCAGCCAUGCCGCGUGUAUGAAGAAGGCCUUCGGGUUGUAAAGUACUUUCAGCGGGGAGGAAGGUGUUGAGGUUAAUAACCUCAGCAAUUGACGUUACCCGCAGAAGAAGCACCGGCUAACUCCGUGCCAGCAGCCGCGGUAAUACGGAGGGUGCAAGCGUUAAUCGGAAUUACUGGGCGUAAAGCGCACGCAGGCGGUCUGUCAAGUCGGAUGUGACAUCCCCGGGCUCAACCUGGGAACUGCAUUCGAAACUGGCAGGCUAGAGUCUUGUAGAGGGGGGUAGAAUUCCAGGUGUAGCGGUGAAAUGCGUAGAGAUCUGGAGGAAUACCGGUGGCGAAGGCGGCCCCCUGGACAAAGACUGACGCUCAGGUGCGAAAGCGUGGGGAGCAAACA
rnacentral:rRNA from 1 species